AAAAUAUUGCCAGAAAGAGAGCAUAAUUAUGAUAGGUACUCUGUUCAUAUCUAAAAAAGAAUUGCUCAUUUGAAAAAAAUGAAAUAGUAUUCAACGAUUGUGUAUCGGGCAAAAUAUACCAAAAAAGUUAAAACAAAAUGCAUGAUAGAUCUUGUAUUCUUGUUGGACCGGAGGCACUUUAUACUACGCGUUUUGAAGCAUGUCGGUGAGCGUUGUGUGUUUGAAGUUCACUUUUCCGAUUUUCC
rnacentral:lncRNA from 1 species